GAGUUUGAUCCUGGCUCAGGACGAACGCUGGCGGCGUGCUUAACACAUGCAAGUCGAACGAUGAACCACCUUCGGGUGGGGAUUAGUGGCGAACGGGUGAGUAACACGUGGGCAAUCUGCCCUGCACUCUGGGACAAGCCCUGGAAACGGGGUCUAAUACCGGAUACUGAACCGCUUGGGCAUCCAGGCGGUUCGAAAGCUCCGGCGGUGCAGGAUGAGCCCGCGGCCUAUCAGCUUGUUGGUGAGGUAACGGCUCACCAAGGCGACGACGGGUAGCCGGCCUGAGAGGGCGACCGGCCACACUGGGACUGAGACACGGCCCAGACUCCUACGGGAGGCAGCAGUGGGGA
rnacentral:rRNA from 1 species